GGGGUUGUGGCUCAGCUGUAGAGCGCUCGUCUAUCAUGUGCGAGGUCCUGGGUUCGAUCCUCAGCACCACA
rnacentral:tRNA from 1 species